rnacentral:rRNA from 1 species
CAGUCGCCGCGGUAAUACGGAGGGGGCUAGCGUUAAUCAGAAUUACUGGGCGUAAAGCGUGCGUAGGCGGUUCGUUAAGUCUGUUGUGAAAGCCCCGUGCUCAACCUGGGAAUGGCAAUGGAUACUGGCGAGCUAGAGUGUGUCAGAGGAUGGUGGAAUUCCCGGUGUAGCGGUGAAAUGCGUAGAGAUCGGGAGGAACAUCAGUGGCGAAGGCGACCAUCUGGGACAACACUGACGCUGAGGCACGAAAGCGUGGGGAGCAAACAGGAUUAGAUACCCGAGUAGUCCCUGUCUUUAUACA